rnacentral:rRNA from 1 species
UACGUAGGGUGCAAGCGUUAAUCGGAAUUACUGGGCGUAAAGCGUGCGCAGGCGGUGAUGUAAGACAGGUGUGAAAUCCCCGGGCUUAACCUGGGAACUGCAUUUGUGACUGCAUCGCUGGAGUGCGGCAGAGGGGGAUAGAAUUCCGCGUGUAGCAGUGAAAUGCGUAGAUAUGCGGAGGAACACCGAUGGCGAAGGCAAUCCCCUGGGCCUGCACUGACGCUCAUGCACGAAAGCGUGGGGAGCAAACAGG